rnacentral:rRNA from 1 species
GAUGAACGCUGGCGGCGUGCCUAAUACAUGCAAGUCGAGCGAACAGACGAGGAGCUUGCUCCUUUGACGUUAGCGGCGGACGGGUGAGUAACACGUGGGUAACCUACCUAUAAGACUGGGAUAACUUCGGGAAACCGGAGCUAAUACCGGAUAUAAUUCGGAACCCCUUGGUUCGUUGGUGAAAGAUGCUUUUCUAUCCAUUUUAAGAUGGACUUGCGCCGUAUUAGCUAGUUGGUAAGGUAACGGCUUACCAAGGCAACGAUACGUAGCCGACCUGAGAGGGUGAUCGGCCACACUGGAACUGAGACACGGUCCAGACUCCUACGGGAGGCAGCAGUAGGGAAUCUUCCGCAAUGGGCGAAAGCCUGACGGAGCAACGCCGCGUGAGUGAUGAAGGUCUUCGGAUCGUAAAACUCUGUUAUUAGGGAAGAACAAACGUGUAAGUAAUUGUGCACGUCUUGACGGUACCUAAUCAGAAAGCCACGGCUAACUACGUG